UUUGACCUCAUAUCAGGGAGGUAUACCCGUAAAACUUAAGCAUAUCAAAAAGGAGAGAAAAU
rnacentral:rRNA from 1 species